CCUACGGGAGGCAGCAGUGGGGAAUCUUGCGCAAUGGGCGAAAGCCUGACGCAGCCAUGCCGCGUGAAUGAUGAAGGUCUUAGGAUUGUAAAAUUCUUUCACCGAGGACGAUAAUGACGGUACUCGGAGAAGAAGCCCCGGCUAACUUCGUGCCAGCAGCCGCGGUAAUACGAAGGGGGCUAGCGUUGCUCGGAAUUACUGGGCGUAAAGGGAGCGUAGGCGGAUAGUUUAGUCAGAGGUGAAAGCCCAGGGCCCAACCUUGGAAUUGCCUUUGAUACUGGCUAUCUUGAGUACGGAAGAGGUAUGUGGAACUCCGAGUGUAGAGGUGAAAUUCGUAGAUAUUCGGAAGAACACCAGUGGCGAAGGCGACAUACUGGUCCGUUACUGACGCUGAGGCUCGAAAGCGUGGGGAGCAAACAGGAUUAGAUACCCUGGUAGUCCACGCUGUAAACGAUGAGUGCUAGUUGUCGGCAUGCAUGCAUGUCGGUGACGCAGACUACGACAUUAAGACACCUCCGCCGUCGGGGAGGUACGGUCGCGAAGAAUUAAACUACGAAAGAAGUUAGACGGCGUGAGACGUCGCCGACGGACGACGACGAGGGAGGAGG
rnacentral:rRNA from 1 species